GCCCAACUCACACUUCACGGACUCUUACCUUGACCCACUUAUUCUCCUCCACCCAUUGAAUUCAAGUUUUUGAUAUGGUAUUAGAGCAAAUCUGGCCCUGUUCAAUUCAAAUGUCAAGGUUUCCGGUGUUGCAGCUGCGUCAAUUCAAGGUUUCAAGGGAGGAUUUCAAAUUUCAAAGUGUCUCUCAUCAACAAAUUUUGAUGAAGGGGCUUCCCAAUUAUAUUAGGGCUCAAAGAGGCCAAAGCAAAUGUUAGCAUCAUGGGGAAGCAGUGUCUUUAGAUGAGGCACCUGUAUUCUUAGAUUAUUCUAGUCUUUAACCUAGAUUCAACUUCAACUAACAGCAGAUCUAUUAUCAAUAUCGACUUUUCACUUUUAGUGAUGCU
rnacentral:misc_RNA from 1 species